GCGUACCAACCCUGAAGAUGCUGAACUUAUCCGAUAUGAGAAAGGAAGCAGCAUCCAGCCUGGUUAGUACCUGGAUAGGAGACCACCUGGGAAUACCAAGUCCUGUAAGCU
rnacentral:rRNA from 1 species